rnacentral:rRNA from 1 species
GACGAACGCUGGCGGCGUGCUUAACACAUGCAAGUCGAACGCUGAAGCUCAGCUUUUGUUGGGUGGAUGAGUGGCGAACGGGUGAGUAACACGUGAGUAACCUGCCCCCUUCUUUGGGAUAACGCCCGGAAACGGGUGCUAAUACUGGAUAUUCACUGGUCUUCGCAUGGGGGUUGGUGGAAAGGGUUUUUCUGGUGGGGGAUGGGCUCGCGGCCUAUCAGCUUGUUGGUGGGGUGAUGGCCUACCAAGGCUUUGACGGGUAGCCGGCCUGAGAGGGUGACCGGUCACAUUGGGACGGAGAUACGGCCCAGACUACGACGGGAGGCAGCAGUGGGGAAUAUUGCACAAUGGGCGCAAGCCUGAUGCAGCGACGCCGCGUGAGGGAUGGAGGCCUUCGGGUUGUGAACCUCUUUCGCUCAUGGUCAAGCCGCAACAAUGGUUGUGGUGAGGGUAGUGGGUAAAGAAGCGCCGGCUAACUACGUG